rnacentral:rRNA from 1 species
AUUGAACGCUGGCGGCAGGCCUAACACAUGCAAGUCGAACGAGUGGCGGACGGGUGAGUAAUGUCUGGGAAACUGCCUGAUGGAGGGGGAUAACUACUGGAAACGGUAGCUAAUACCGCAUACCCUCGGAUGUGCCAAGAUGGGCUUAGCUAGUAGGUGGGGUAACGGCUCACCUAGGCGACGAUCCCUAGCUGGUCUGAGAGGAUGACAAGCAAAACGGGAACGGAGACCAGGUCAAGACUCCUACGGGAGGCAGAAGGGGGGAAUAUUGCAAAAUGGGCGAAAGACUGAUGCAGAAAUGCGGCGGGUAUGAAGAAGGCCUUGGGGUUGUAAAGUACUUUCAGCGGGGAGGCGUUACCCGAAGAAGAAGCACCGGCUAACUCCGUGCCAGCAGCCGCGGUAAUUC